UGAAAGGCUUUUUGAAGUCUUCGGAUGGAUAGAAGAACCCCUGAUGCCGUCGAGCCAAGAAAAGUUUCUAAGUUUAGCUAAUGUUGCCCGUACCGUAAACCGACACAGGUGGGUGGGAUGAGUAUUCUAAGGCGCGUGGAAGAACUCUCUUUAAGGAACUCUGCAAAAUAGCACCGUAUCUUCGGUAUAAGGUGUGGUUAGCUUCGUAUUAGGAUUUACUCCGAAAGCGAAGAAACUUACAACAAAGAGUCCCUCCCGACUGUUUACCAAAAACACAGCACUCUGCUAACUCGUAAGAGGAUGUAUAGGGUGUGACGCCUGCCCGGUGCUCGAAGGUUAAUUGAUGGGGUUAGCAUUAGCGAAGCUCUUGAUCGAAGCCCGAGUAAACGGCGGCCGUAACUAUAACGGUCCUAAGGUAGCGAAAUUCCUUGUCGGUUAAAUACCGACCUGCAUGAAUGGCGUAACGAGAUGGGAGCUGUCUCAAAGAGGGAUCCAGUGAAAUUGUAGUGGAGGUGAAAAUUCCUCCUACCCGCGGCAAGACGGAAAGACCCCGUGGACCUUUACUACAGCUUGACACUGCUACUUGGAUAAGAAUGUGCAGGAUAGGUGGGAGGCUUUGAGUAUAUGACGCCAGUUGUAUAGGAGCCAUUGUUGAGAUACCACUCUUUCUUAUUUGGGUAGCUAACCAGCUUGAGUUAUCCUCAAGUGGGACAAUGUCUGGUGGGUAGUUUGACUGGGGCGGUCGCCUCCCAAAUAAUAACGGAGGCUUACAAAGGUUGGCUCAGAACGGUUGGAAAUCGUUCGUAGAGUAUAAAGGUAUAAGCCAGCUUAACUGCAAGACAUACAAGUCAAGCAGAGACGAAAGUCGGUCUUAGUGAUCCGGUGGUUCUGUGUGGAAGGGCCAUCGCUCAAAGGAUAAAAGGUACCCCGGGGAUAACAGGCUGAUCUCCCCCAAGAGCUCACAUCGACGGGGAGGUUUGGCACCUCGAUGUCGGCUCAUCGCAUCCUGGGGCUGGAGCAGGUCCCAAGGGUAUGGCUGUUCGCCAUUUAAAGCGGUACGCGAGCUGGGUUCAGAACGUCGUGAGACAGUUCGGUCCCUAUCUGCCGUGGGCGUAAGAAGAUUGAAGAGAUUUGACCCUAGUACGAGAGGACCGGGUUGAACAAACCACUGGUGUAGCUGUUGUUCUGCCAAGAGCAUCGCAGCGUAGCUAAGUUUGGAAAGGAUAAACGCUGAAAGCAUCUAAGCGUGAAGCCAACUCUAAGAUGAAUCUUCUCUAAGCUCUCUAGAAGACUACUAGUUUGAUAGGCUGGGUGUGUAAUGGAUGAAAGUCCUUUAGCUGACCAGUACUAAUAGAGCGUUUGGCUUAUCUUU
rnacentral:rRNA from 1 species